rnacentral:lncRNA from 1 species
UGAGAUUAGACGGGUAGGUUGAAGGAGUGAAUAUAUGGUAGAAAUUUAGGGGUAGAGAUACGUGCUGGCUUCUAUGGCAGAAAUCUCCCCCAGAACCUCUGGCGAAAAAAACCCAAAACAAUUAGCUUCAUUUGCCAAAUCUGGCCAGAUAUCAUGACAUUGGUCUACAGAUGCCCUCUCAGAUAGGUUUAAAAAUCCUCCUCCCGCUUCUAGCAUUCGCUUUCCCCACCAUUAGGGAGUCGGGCAAGGGAGGGGGCAGGAUGAAAACUGCACCCACGUUUGCUGCCUUGGCUCUCUGCAGGAGACAGGAAUCCAGGGCUUUGCCGUCGUCAUAGCAACUAGGAGUUCCGCGGUCCCCCACCUUCCUCCAACUCCUACUUCCCGGGCUGGCCGGGCUGAGCGGCCGCUUCUCUCGCGAGAUUUGCGCGCUGUGCUGAGUAGCCCAGCGGUGAUCUCACCCGAGACUUGCCGAGGGAGGGAGAGAAGGAGGGGAAGGAAUGGGGCGGGGAGGCGGGGAGGCGAGGGGAGUGGAGGGGAGGGAAGGGCGAGUGAGGCGCCGCCACCGCCGGCAACUUUGUGAGCGAGUUCAGUGCGUGCGUAAGCGAGUGAGCGAAAAAGGAGAGCGCGCGGCGGACCCACCCCGGACGCGCGGCAGCACCGGGAGGCCGGGCUGAGCGGUAAGUGGCUCCAGCGCCUUGGGGCCGGGCAGGGGAAGGGGGGUGCAGGACUGUCGACAGCCCCCCCUCCCCCAGCGCGUUUUUGGCUGGGGCUCGGGUCCAGGGCCGGGAGCAGACACCGAGAGACCGGUCAAAGUUUUAUUUCCGAUUCGGUGGCGUGCUGAUAGCGCAGCCCGGCGGGGGCGAGUCCGGGCUGCACCGCGCACGGCGCGCGCGCACGCACCUCGGAAUCCGAAUCUGCAUAACUACCGGCGGAGCGCCUCCGCGAGAGGCCGGGAGAUCCGCGCCCCCGUCGGGGUGGCUGCGCCCACCCGGUUGUUCUCGUCGUCACCCGGCACCCUUCACCUUCAGUCACCUGGGUUCAGUUUUGAAUGUGAAUGGCAGUAAACUAAUAUCCAAGAUUUCUGUAUAAGAAGUAGAUCAAAAGGACUGUACUUUCAGGUGGAGGAAAUCAUCCUAAUACCUACCACUUCUUUCCCAUGAUUGAUCGAUUGAUCUAUCAUCUGUCUGUUUCCCAUGUAUUUAAAGUUUAAAGACAUAGAUAGUUUUCAGAUUAAUUUCUUUUUCUCUAUGGCAUCCCAAAGUACUAAACAGUUGUAGCCAUAAGAAGAUUAUAGAAAAAGCUCUGUACUUGAAAUAAUUUGGAAUGUAUAGGGCCAGUAUUUAGAAAUGAAUUCUCUCCAGGAGGAGAGGGAACUGUGUAGACCAGAAAGAAGCAACCCCCCACCCCUCAUCCAAUAAAAACCAUAUUUACAUAGAAAGUGCUGUGCUGAGUUGGGAUUGUCGUAGUGUUUCUGUAUUCAAAUGAAAGCAUAUUUCAGAGAAGUGAUAUAUUGCUUUUUAAUCAAUUACCUAGUUUUCCUAAUUGGUUUUGAGGUAUUGAGUCCCCCCCCCCCCCCAUAUUAGCUUUUGUACCUCUUUAGGGUGGUAUUUUUCAAGUUUAAAAUACGUAAAACUCAAUUUUAAAUUAUUGGCAUUAUUUGAAGAGUGAGUAAUCCAAAAAUCACGUGUCAGUAAUACAUUGUAGGGUGGCUCUUGUAGCAAGUUUCAUUUCCUAACUGUAUUACCAGUUGACAGAAAUUCCUUUGCAAAACAUUAACAUACCAACAAAGAGAGCUCGGUAGAGAAAAACUGGCUUGGGGUUUGUAACAAGCUGCAGAUGGUGUGUGGACAUAAUUUCUUUCCAGUUCUUCCUGGGAUCAGCCUUAGU